rnacentral:piRNA from 1 species
AAUAUUCUGAUUAUGGAUUUCUAGCCUCC